ACCCUGUGUUGAACUCAGCUGUGUUCGCGGAGGAGGCACUAAAGGGUGAGAGGAGAGUGUGGCGUAUUGUUGGCCAGUCCUUUCCUCCUCCCUCCUAACUAUACUUGGCUCCUUUCCGUUAAACAGACAUAGUCCUAGAAACCAAAAUAACUUUAUAAACUGUAAGAAGAAUGAGAAGACGCAACUUCUUUUAAACUCAACUUUAUUGGAGCUCGAAGCCCGAGGAAGCCUAUUGGACAAACACAGUUGCUCCAGAUGAUGCAAAUCUAGAAUUCACAGAUGCUCUGACCUGUUUCCACCUAGCAGAAUCAACUCCCCAUGCAUUUCUGUUUCUCGAUAGAAAGCAAUGACCCACCUUCAGGAGCAUGGUUGCCCUUAGGCUUCUUCCUCUGCAGGUAGAGGGAUGGAAGGCUUCCCUCUGGAGCGUCUUCCACACAUGCCACACUAUGUGACACUAAUAAAGCGUUGGAUGCUUGCUGUGUGUGACCAGA